rnacentral:rRNA from 1 species
UACGGAGGGGGCUAGCGUUGUUCGGAAUUACUGGGCGUAAAGCGCGUGUAGGCGGCCCUGCAAGUCGGAUGUGAAAUCCCAUGGCUCAACUAUGGAAGUGCAUUCGAAACUGCAGGGCUAGAGUCCUGGAGAGGAAGGUGGAAUGCUUGGUGUAGAGGUGAAAUUCGUAGAUAUCAAGCGGAACGCCGGUGGCGAAGGCGGCCUUCUGGACAGUGACUGACGCUGAGACGCGAAAGCGUGGGGAGCAAACAGG